UAAAUCCUUUCACUGUUUCCUUCUUCCAAGUUGAAAAAGCAAAAUCGAAACUUUGCCGCAAAAACAAAAACAACAACAAUGUCAGUGUUGAGAUUAAGGUACGCUUUCCCUGUCCCAUCUCCCAACUUGUUUCUUCUUCGAUUACACUCUCACGCUCACUCCCCAUUAGAUCGCAACGUUGUUGCUGUUGACGAUGCUAUUUCCUCUUUCAAUCGCAUGCUCAAUAUGAACCCUACCCCUUCCAUCUCCAAAUUCGGCAAAAUCUUAGCUUCCCUCGUUAAGAUCAAUCAUUUCCAUACCGCUAUUUCCCUUUUCCGGAAAAUGGAAUUUAGAGGAAUUCAAACCGACAUUGUUAAUUUAAGCAUCUUGAUUAAUUGUUUCUGCCACCUUCGUCAACUCAAUUUCGCAUUUUCUGUAUUGGCCAAGAUUCUCAAGCUAGGUUAUCACCCUAAUACCAUAACAAUGACCACACUUAUCAAAGGUCUAUGUCUUAAUGGCAGGGUUAAUGAAGCUCUUCACUUUCACGACGAAGUUAUAGCGAAGGGGUUUCAUCUUGAUCGGGUUAGUUACGGGACGUUGAUUAACGGAUUAUGUAGAAUAGGAGAAACAAGAGCUGCCAUGCAGGUUUUGAGAAAGAUUGAAGGGUUGUUGGUUAAGCCGGACGUCGUCAUGUACAAUACAGUCAUUAAUAGUCUGGUGAAAGAUAAACUUGUGAAUGAAGCCUUUAAUUUAUAUUCUGAAAUGAUUGUUAAGAGAAUUUCUCCUGAUAUUAUCACUUACAAUACUUUAAUAUAUGGCCUUUGCAUUGUCGGUCGAUUGAAAGAAGUAAUAGGUUUGUUAAAUGAAAUGUUGUUGAAGAAUAUCAGCCCGAAUGUUCGUACUUUCAAUACGUUGAUUGAUGGUUUAUGUAAAGAAGGAGAUGUGAAAGGAGCUACAAGUGUUUUAGCUAUUAUGAUAAAACAAAGCGUGGAACUAAAUGUUGUCAGUUAUAAUUUAUUGAUCGAUGGGUAUUUCUUGGUUAAAGAAGUGAACAAGGCAAAAAAUGUGUUUGACUCUAUUGUCUUGACAAGAGGGGAACCUGAUCUUCACAGUUACAAUAUCAUGAUUGAUGGAUUAUGUAAGAAUAAAAUGGUGGAUGAAGCUCUGAUUCUUUUUAAAGAAAUGUGUUCCAAAAGUAUGACUCCUAGUACGAUAACAUAUAGUUCUCUUAUUGAUGGACUUUGCAAAUCAGGGAGAAUCUCUGAUGUUUGGGAUCUUAUAGAUGAGAUGCAUGAUAGAGGCCAACCUGCUGAUGUGAUCACCUACACUUCCUUAAUGGAUGCUUUAUGCAAAAACCAUAAUCUCGACAAGGCAAUUGCGUUAUUUAGGAAAAUUAAGGAUCUGGGUUUUCAAGCAAAUGUCUACACGUACACGGUAUUAAUUGAUGGACUGUGCAGCUGUGGAAGACUUAAGGAUGCACAAGAGGUUUUUAGGAUACUUCUGACUAAUGACUAUCAUUUAAAUGUUUGCACGUAUACUGUUAUGAUUAAAGGGCUUUGUAAAGAGGGCUUGUUUGAUGAAACAUUGGCAUUGCUUUCGAAAAUGGAAGACGAUGGUUGCAUUCCUAAUGCCAUAACUUAUGAGAUAGUUAUUCAAGCUCUGUUAAAAAAAGGCAAGAAAAAUAUGGCAGUGAAACUUCUUUGUGAAAUGAGUGCUAGAGGUCUACUAUAAGAGUAAAACAAGUUUGGAUGCUUCUGCUUUUGAUAUUAGCAUCUAAGGGGGAGAUUUUGCUACUGUGAAGUCUUGGAUCACAACAAUUUUGUUCAUAACCUCUUGAGUCUUGUUCAUAACCUCUUAAUGUCAAUAUGGUUGUCCUCCUACCACUUGUAUAUAAAACUUGUACUGCUCAUCUUAGUCCUCCAUAAAUGUUCAUCUUAGUCCUCCAUAAGUGUUAGGAUUCUCCUCUGUAUCGGAGCUUUGCUCUGAGAGUAGUUAGAGAAGCUCUAUAUUUCUAUUAUCAUUCUAUUAACAAUAUUGUAUUAUUUAUCUAAAUUUAUAAUUGUUAUUUGCCGAAUCUUUUCCUCUAUUAUCCCUUGUUUUGGUUGCGAUUACAUUGGUCUCUAUCAGUUAAAUGAUUGGUUUAGCGUUUGUAAAACUCCAAAUGAUUGUCUAGGUAAAAUCCAAUUUCUUAUUGCUUUAUGUGUAGGAUUUCAAAACUAGACCAAACUUUUUAUCUAACUGAUCAAACUAAUUUUGUUUUCAGAUUGAAAUCCAAGAGCAUUGACAUUAAGAUAAUUGUUUCUCAAUGGAUUUAUGAAUUAUGCCUUGGUUUGUUUCUGAAUUUAAUGGUCAGUGUUAGUGCUAUUGUAUCCUUCAAUCAUUUAAUCAAAAUUCAGUGCUGUUUAUUCUUCCAUCUCUUUUUCUUUGCAUUUUAAUUGCAUCUCCCAUUGGUCAGACAGAGCUUGAAAAAAAUUUAUAUAUAGUGACACCGCCCAUCUUACAGAAUGAAAAUAAUAUUAUCCUACCAAGUACAAGUUGGUCAAUCAUCUAAGAUUAGGCCUGGUCAGGAGCAUUUCCUCACAGUAUUAUACCAAAAUUUUUAGGUGCCAGUGUUAUCCGUAUACAAUAUUACCCUAAAAAAUUUAACAGUAGCAAUGUCAUGGAUUUAAAUUAUUACAACUUGAUAUUAUUACUAUUAUUUGAUUUGAGAUAGGUUUAGUAGGACCAACCAUAGUUCUAUUAUUAGUAUUGUAAUUAGAAUUUUGGUUGCCAUGACUUAGUGUAUUCUUGUAUUCUUAGCAGUGAUCUACAGUAUAUGGUGAUUUAUUGACCUGGUUCAGUAUUAAUCUGAUGAGUAUAUUUGAAUUUCUGCCUUCUUUUUGUGAUGAGAUUGAAAAGAUGAUGAGUUCCUUUUGGUAGGUCAUAAUGCUAAUCGGUUGUGUGGAAUUCAUUGUCUUAUCACUCAUCUUUUCAAAGCAAAAUAUUUUCCAGUGAUUUUCAUGAUGGCACUGGUGAUAUGUCUUAAUGAUGGCACUGGUACACCUGCAGGUUUCAGACUUAUUACGGCCAGAGGUGAAGAAUUGGAACACAAAUAUGAUCAACCACGUAUUUGACAUGUAUAUGGCUGCUAGAGUUCUGUUGGUGCCACUGUUCAAUUCGGUUGUUGAUGACUGAUGCGUUUGGAAAGAGGUGAAGCGUUUGCAAGAAAGAGGAGCGGGGUGCUCGCCCAAUUGCAGUUAUGAUAUCGAGCAAAUGGAAGAAUACAAAUUUCCGCAUCUGGGAGGACCAAACAGAAAUGCACCCGCUAGUAAUUAGGUGUGCAAUCCAGCUGCUCACAAACUGGAAUUCUGCUCAAAUUACGCAUCAGCAGCGGGCUAUCAGUUCAGGUAGGGCUGAUCUGGUGCACUGGAAGAAGCCCGCCCCUCCGUGGUUUAAAUGCGAUGUAGACACAUCUUUUGCUUCUCAAAUUCGGGUAGGUUUUGGUAAACGUGUAUUCGAGAUGAGGAUGGGAGCUUUUGCUUAUUGAUCUGUUUGAUUGGGAAAGCAGCCAAGAAGUUCAGUUUAGGCACCUCUAGAAAAAAGAUGUGUCAUUGUUGGUGUCUGAAACUGACGAGAAUAUUUGUUAUUACAUUUGAUUUAUUCCGUUAAAAAAAUAUUAUCAUUGGUAUCGACGUGUCAGUAUCGGUGUCGUGUUUCCGAUGUCCGUGUUUUAUAGGCGAACGAGUGAUUAUAUCAGUCAGCCACUUAAUCAGACCUGAAAAUGUAAAUGUAGUCAUCUUGUGAGAGUGAUACUGGCUCAUGUUCGUUUAAUUUAUGCCUGUAUUAAUGAUUAUUGUUAUUCUAUUCUCAAUGCAUUCAGUUUGCAGAA